GUCAUUUUUCUCUGACUUGUCACUAAUUACCUCAAUUCUAAUCUCCUGGGCAUUUCCCAGUCCACCCCAGCUUCUCUCUACUGGGGUUCCAUCACCAGCCAAACAGCCCUCUCAGCAGCAUGACUUUUAAGUUGGGUCCAAGAGUCCACUCCCCUACACCAAGCUCCAAUGAUCUCUCUUGCUUCACAGGAAAACUCAGGCAUCCUUGCCGUGCUCUCCUUUUUUGUCUUCUUGAUUGUGGGCCUUUGGACUCAGACUGAAUUACCCCACUGGCUUUCCUGGGUCUCCAGCUUGCAGAUGGCAUGUUUGGGACUUCUCAGCAUCCAUAAUCACGAGGAAAAGGAAAUGAACCACGAAAAGCAAAGUGGUCUGCCCUUAGACACACAACAAUUAUGGAGAAGAGCUGUGGUUUCCUGUUGUUGGCCUAGCCUGCUGAGCCAUUUCUCUUGGUGAGUUACUUAAGCCUAUCUGGGCUUCAGUUUGUUUUUUAAUGCUUAACUUUUUAAAAAAGAAAUGUCAUAUUUUCUGUGUAAGCUGCUGGCUGAUGAUGAGGCUCAAAUAAGAAAAGUUUGACAAUACAUGUGAAAAACCCUACUCAGACCUCCUUCCUCUAAAUCUCCAGGCCACUCACACUGCCAGCUCAUUUUGGCCUACAUGUAUGCUUGUUCUCUCCGUCCCAAACAUUAAAACUUGCCUGUCCAAGAUUCCUCAGCAUUUGUUUCAUUGAGAAUGUCAAAAGAAAACCAAGUGACAUGAAAAAAAUAAAACACAAAAACCUCUUGGCUAAUAGAAGAAG
rnacentral:lncRNA from 13 species